rnacentral:rRNA from 1 species
UACGUAGGGUGCGAGCGUUAAUCGGAAUUACUGGGCGUAAAGCGUGCGCAGGCGGUGAUGUAAGACCGAUGUGAAAUCCCCGGGCUUAACCUGGGAACUGCAUUGGUGACUGCAUUGCUGGAGUAUGGCAGAGGGGGGUGGAAUUCCACGUGUAGCAGUGAAAUGCGUAGAGAUGUGGAGGAACACCGAUGGCGAAGGCAGCCCCCCUGGGCCAAUACUGACGCCUCAUGCACGAAAGCGUGGGGAGCAAACAGG